GACGAACGCUGGCGGCGUGCUUAACACAUGCAAGUCGAACGGAAAGGCCCUGCUUUUGUGGGGUGCUCGAGUGGCGAACGGGUGAGUAACACGUGAGUAACCUGCCCUUGACUUUGGGAUAACUUCAGGAAACUGGGGCUAAUACCGGAUAGGAGCUCCUGCUGCAUGGUGGGGGUUGGAAGGUUUCGGCGGUGGGGUAUGGACUCGCGGCUUAUCAGCUUGUUGGUGGGGUAGUGGCUUACCAAGGCUUUGACGGGUAGCCGGCCUGAGAGGGUGACCGGCCACAUUGGGACUGAGAUACGGCCCAGACUCCUACGGGAGGCAGCAGUGGGGAAUAUUGCACAAUGGGCGGAAGCCUGAUGCAGCAACGCCGCGUGCGGGAUGACGGCCUUCGGGUUGUAAACCGCUUUCGCCUGUGACGAAGCGUGAGUGACGGUAAUGGGUAAAGAAGCACCGGCUAACUACGUG
rnacentral:rRNA from 1 species